rnacentral:rRNA from 1 species
AAACCUCUUUCGCCAGGGACGAAGCGCAAGUGACGGUACCUGGAGAAGAAGGACCGGCCAACUACGUGCCAGCAGCCGCGGUAAUACGUAGGGUCCGAGCGUUGUCCGGAAUUACUGGGCGUAAAGAGCUCGUAGGUGGUUUGUCGCGUUGUUCGUGAAAACUCACAGCUUAACUGUGGGCGUGCGGGCGAUACGGGCAGACUGGAGUACUGCAGGGGAGACUGGAAUUCCUGGUGUAGCGGUGGAAUGCGCAGAUAUCAGGAGGAACACCGGUGGCGAAGGCGGGUCUCUGGGCAGUAACUGACGCUGAGGAGCGAAAGCGUGGGGAGCGAACAGGAUUAGAUACCCUGGUAGUCCACGCCGUAAACGGUGGGUACUAGGUGUGGGUUUCCUUCCUUGGGAUCCGUGCCGUAGCUAACGCAUUAAGUACCCCGCCUGGGGAGUACGGCCGCAAGGCUAAAACUCAAAGGAAUUGACGGGGGCCCGCACAAGCGGCGGAGCAUGUGGAUUAAUUCGAUGCAACGCGAAGAACCUUACCUGGGUUUGACAUGCACAGGACGACUGCAGAGAUGUGGUUUCCCUUGUGGCCUGUGUGCAGGUGGUGCAUGGCUGUCGUCAGCUCGUGUCGUGAGAUGUUGGGUUAAGUCCCGCAACGAGCGCAACCCUUGUCUCAUGUUGCCAGCACGUUAUGGUGGGGACUCGUGAGAGACUGCCGGGGUCAACUCGGAGGAAGGUGGGGAUGACGUCAAGUCAUCAUGCCCCUUAUGUCCAGGGCUUCACACAUGCUACAAUGGCCGGUACAAAGGGCUGCGAUGCCGUGAGGUGGAGCGAAUCCUUUCAAAGCCGGUCUCAGUUCGGAUCGGGGUCUGCAACUCGACCCCGUGAAGUCGGAGUCGCUAGUAAUCGCAGAUCAGCAACGCUGCGGUGAAUACGUUCCCGGGCCUUGUACACACCGCCCGUCACGUCAUGAAAGUCGGUAACACCCGAAGCCGGUGGCCUAACCCUUGUGGAGGGAGCCGUCGAAGGGGAU